rnacentral:misc_RNA from 1 species
UCCGAUUUAUCAUCGGCAGUUUCUCUAGAGUACCCAGCAUAACCUGAUGGUAACUAAAAAUGAGGGUUGCGCUCGUUGCGGGACUUAACCCAACAUCUCACGACACGAGCUGACGACAGCCAUGCAACACCUGUGUGUGGUCCAGCCGAACUGAAGGAAUCCAUCUCUGGACUCCGCGACCACCAUGUCAAGGGCUGGUAAGGUUCUUCGCGUUGCUUCGAAUUAAACCACAUAUUCCACCGCUUGUGCGAGCCCCCGUCAAUUCCUUUGAGUUUUAAUCUUGCGACCGUACUCCCCAGGCGGAAUGCUUAUCAAGUUAUCUUCGACACCGAAUAAAUCCGAUAUCUAGCAUUCAUCGUUUACAGCGUGGACUAC